GGAUACUAGGGGUGUGGUUGUGCAUGUGACUCCGAUAAAGUCAAGGGAGCAGUAAAGCUCGGUAUUA
rnacentral:tRNA from 1 species